GCUACCCAACUGCCCCAGUGUGUGAUGUUCCUCUCCCUGAGUCUAGGUGUUCUCCUUGUUCAACGCCCACCUAUGAGUGAGAACAUGCAGUGUUUGGUUUUCUGUUCUUGUGUCAGUUUGCUGAAAAUGAUGGUUUCCAGAUUCAUCCAAAUCCCUACAAAGGACACAAACUCAUUGUUUUUUAUGGCUGCAUAGUAUUCCAUGGUGUAUAUGUACCGCAUUUUCUUUGUCCAGUCUAUCAUUGAUGGGCAUUUGGGUUGGUUCCAGAUCUUUGCUAUCGUACACAGGGCUGUUUAUAGUAGAAUGAUUUACAGUUCUUUGGGUAUAUACCCAGUAAUGGGUCAAAUGGAAUUUCUAUUUCUAGAUCCUUGAGAAAUCGCCACACUGUCUUCCACAAUGGUUGAACUAAUUUACACUCCCACCAGCUGUGUAAGAGUGUUCCUGUUUCUCACAUCCUCUCCAGCAUCUGUUGUUUCCAGAUUUUUUAAUGAUCGCCAUUCUAACUGGAGUGAGAUGGUAUCUCAGUGUGGUUUUGAUUUGCAUUUCUCUAAUGACCAGUGAUAGUGAGCAUUUUUUCACCUUUGUUGGCCUCAUAUAUGUCUUCUUUUAAAAAGUGUCUGUUCAUAUCCUUUGCUCACUUUUGAAUGGGCUUGUUUGUUUUUUUCUUAUACAUCUGUUUUAGUUCUUUGUAGAUUCUGGAUAUUAGCCCUUUGUCAGAUGGGUAGAUCGCAAAAAUUUUUUCCCAUUCUGUUGGUUGCCAAUUCACUCUAAUGACUGUUUCUUUUGCUCUACAGAAGCUCUGGAGUUUAAUUAGAUCCCAUUUGUCUAUCUUGGCUUUUAUUGCCAUUGCUUUUGGUGUUUUAGUCACGAAGUCCUUGCCUAUGCCUAUGUCCUGGAUGGUUUUGCCUACAUUUUCUUCUAGUGUUUUUAUGAUGUUAGGCUUUAUGUUUAAAUCUUUGAUCCAUUUGGAGUUAAUUUUAGUGUAAGGUGACAGGUAGGAGUCCAGUUUCUGCUUUCUACACAUUGCUAGCCAGUUUUCCCAACACCAUUUAUUAAACAUGGAGUCCUUUCCUCAUUGCUUGUUUUUGCUGGAUUUGUCAAAGAUGGUUGUAGAUGUGUGAUGUUUCUUCUGGAGUCUGUUCUGUUCCAUUGGUCUAUGUCUCUGUUUUGGUACCAGUUCGAUGCUCUUUUGAUUACUGUAGCCUUGUAGUAUAGUUUGAAGUCCAGCAGUGUGAUGCCUCCAGCUUUGUUUGUUUUCUUAGGAUUGUCUUGGCUAUGCAGUGUCUUUUGUGAUUCCAUGUGAAGUUUAAAGUGGUUUUCUCCAGUUCUGUGAAGAAGCUCAUUGGUAGCUUGAUGGGGAUAGUGUUGAAUCUAUAGAUUACUUUGGGCAGUAUGGCCAUUUUCAUGAUAUUGAUUCUUCCUAACCAUGAACAUGGAAUGUUUCUCCAUCUGUUUGUGUCCUCUCUUCUUUCAUUGAGCAGUGGUUUGUAGUUCUCCUUGAAGAGGUCCUUUAUGUUCCUUGUUAGUUGUAUUCCUAGAUAUUUUAUUCUCUUUGUAGCAAUUGUGAAUGGGAGUUUGCUCUUGAUUUGACUCUCUUUUAGUCUGUUAUUGGUGUAUAGAAAUGCUUGUGAUUUCUGCACAUUGAUUUUAUAUCCUGAGACUUUGCUGAAGUUGCUUAUCAGUUUGAGAAGAUUUUGGACUGAGAUGAUGGGGUCUUCUAGAUGUUCAAUUACGUCAUCUGCAGAUAGAGACAGUUUGACUUCCUCCUUUUCUAGUUGAAUACCCUUUAUUUCUUUUUCUUGCCUGAUUUCUCUGGCUAGAACUUCUAAUACUAUGUUGAAUAGGAAUGGUGAGAGAGGGCAUCCUUGUCUAGUGCCUGAUUUCAAAGGGGAUUGGAAGAUAACUUUUUAAAAUUAAUCUUCCGAGGUUGAUUUCAGCAGGAAAAUGGGGAAAUGUUAUUUUCCCAUGGUAGUGGAGUUUUCAAAUCUUCAGAGAAAAGAGAGAAUGAAAUAUGUAUUGCAUCAGAAGUUCAAUGCUUCCCUCUGUACACACAGAGAGAUCAGCUUAGACAACUAUGUUUUUUUUUCUUUUUGAGUGCAGUGAUAUGAUCUCACUUCAACCUCUGCCUCCUGGGUUUAAGUGAUUCUCUUGCCUCAGCCUCCCAAGUAGCUGGGAUUACUAGCGCCCACCACCACGCUCAGCUAAUUUUUGUAUUUUUGGUAGAGAUGGGGUUUCACCAUGUUGGCCUGGCUGGUCUUGAACUCCUGAUCUCAACUGAUCCACCCCACCUUGGCCUCCCAAAGUGCUGGGAUUACAGGCAUGAGCCACCGCACAUGGUCCCAAAUGUUCUAAAUCAUCCAGGACACCUGCAGUUCAUGUCUGUUGUCCCACUGAACUAUUCAUAGCACCUCCUGGAACUCAACAAGUAUCAUUGUUUGGGUAAAGUAUACAGUCAUUCUACCUACUAAUUUGUAUACAUGGAUAUGAAAAGACAUAAAAACUGUGACUGUGAAAAAAUCGAGUUGCCUAAUUAGAACAUUUGGUCACACUAUCUAUAGAUUAUAAUUUGAAGCAGGCUUCUGUGUUGGUUUCUCCAGAAAUUACAAUAUUUUGAGAGGGGAUAAAGAGAUGGAAGAAUUCAUCAGAGAACAAGAACUAAGAUAUUUUCAUCAUAAAAACUGUGGAAAACUUUGGUUAAAAUAACAACAACAACAAAAACAACUCCAAAUAGCCACCCUUAUUAAACUCUAGCAAGCUGAUGGUACAGUUUUUGUUUUCAAGUUAUAUGAUGGGAAACUGGAGGAAGGUGUUAUAAGGUCGAUACAUUCCUCAUAAAAGAUAGGAAUUUUCUAACAAAGUCAGCAAGGCAGUGAGAUGGAUGAGAGAAUGAAUGAGAUUUCUUUCAAGGACACUGACAAUUGUGAAGAGUAAAUAAGUAGAUUUGGGGAUUUUGCUGAUCCUAUUCCUGUAUUGCUCUAAGUCUACACUGUAGAUGAUAGUUCAGCUCUCCUACCUCAUCUAAAGAGUUUUGUCCACAUGGGGGGACUGGGAAGAUUAAUGCUGACUGUGUAAUCCCAAGCUUGAACUAUUUCCUUAGGGCCUUUUGAGCUGUCUAUUGGAUUGUGUUUUGUGCUUCACUUAAUGUAAAAACAAAGCAGGGCUUGGGGUGUUUCCUUUGAAAAAGAAGCAGCUGUGAGAUAAUUGGCAGCCAGUGAUCAGAGGAGCCACAGAUCUCCAGCAAUUGGAGCUCUCCCAGGCAGGAUGACAUGAUCUAAUGUUCAAAGGGGAGGAUGGGAGUUACCAAUCUUUGUUUGAUGCAGUGGAUUAUAUUUUUUCUCCCAGCUCUGUGGAAAGAAUGAAUUUUAUUUUUAUAUGACUUGCAGUAUAGUUUCUCAUUUUUAAUGGGAUAGUCCCCAAAUUGACAUCCUCAAGCCAGCUGGCCAUCACAUCUGCACAUGCAUUUUAAAGAAUCUACCUAUCCCUAGGUCCUUCCUUUCAGAUUGAUCUUUGUCAGAUGGUAAUUUUGUCAACAUUGAUUUGAGAUCCUCUUUUAACUCUGUAAAUAGAAAGGGAAGAAUUGAAGUGUAAAAAAUUCAGAACUCAAAUGUGAUGAUGUAUGAUACAUGGAUAAAAGCAUUGGAAAAUUAUUUCUCUCACCUCUGGGUAUCUAACCAGAUACAGAUGUCAAGUGACCAUCCAUGAACUUGGAUACUAAUGAAGUAUACUAUAAGAAGCAUUGGACUGGGAGUCACAGAAAACUGAAUUCUAAUUCUGGUUCUGACAUAGAUUCAUGGUAUAAUCUUAAGUGAGUUUUUGGACUUCAUUUUCUUCCUCUAUAAAAUGAGGAAGGUGAAAUCAGUUGAUUGCAAGGUUUUUUUUUUUCAGCUCUAACAUUAUAUAUAGUUUUAAUACUUUGUUUUCCCAUAGAGUGAAACAUCACACAAAUAUAUUCCUGACUUUUCAUCCAGUUAUAAAUUUUUUUUUCCUAAUUGUCACUUCAGGGUUUUCCUGAAGAAUGCCACAAUUUUGUGUUCCUUACUAUUCCUUUUUCAUAGUCUUGACAGUGUUAGUCUUAAGGUAUGAGAUGAUUAGAUGGUUGCCUUUUAAGCGUGAGUCAAGAGCUAUCUCUAAACAUUUCUUACAUUGUCCUGCCUCUGAAAUCUGAAAUUCAUCCUCAGGAAUUUGUUUCCUGCAGAUGAGGCACCUGCACUCUAUUAAUAUACACAUGCCCUGGGAGAAGCAACACAUUAAGCGUAUUUCAGUUUAAUUAGAACACAUUUAUCUGGGUUUUCCCAAUAAGCUGGCUACCCUCUCACAGCACUUCAGAGCAGGAGAGAGGCAAUGGGGAAAUUUUCAUAGGCCAGAGAAGCAUUGGGAUCCAUGUUGGAUGAUACCUGAUGUUUCCACCUGGUGGGAGUCAGAGUAAGAGACAAUAAGCAGUUGCCACAGGGAGGGAUAAGAGGUUAAUGAAACACUGUGCAAUAGGGAAUGUUGUUGGUGCCAGAAGGAUACAAGGAAGUUGGAAGACGCCAAGGAUCCCCCAAGCAUAAAUACUGCCUCACAAUUUUCCUUAGCCUGGGUCUGUCCAUGUUAAUCUGUAUGAAAUUGAUGUAGUUCCUCCUUGCUCAGUGAUCUCUUGCCAACAAGAAGGAAAUCACACUGUAUUAACUUGUGACACUUUCUUGUGGCUCCUCCAGAAUCUCUUUGUUUUCAUUUUGCCUGAAUUUCAGAUCUAUAAUUAGAGUUGAGAAGCGAACAUUCUGCACAGGGAGUUUUGCUAACACCACCAUUUUGAGGAGGAAGUUUUUUUAGAGGUGAAAAGUAUGGCAAAUCUUCCCCAUCCCUUUAUGAAACAUACACUCUCUGAAAAGUCUAACAAAGGUAGGUACUAGGAGUUCUUCCUAAAAGAAUUCUUGUUUCUGCGAAUGGAAUAAAAUGCACCUAGAUUCUCUGUUGAUGCUGAUGGCACCCAUCCCAAAGCUUCUACAUGUUGGGAGAUUCACUCUUAUUCAGCCCUAUGCUGACUAAGGGGAGUUUUCAUUCAUUUGAUGUGUUAUCUUUGUUUCAUACUGUCUGAUAUUUUAUAACAUAUGAAUUUCUUCUGGAGAAAAAAGAUUAUAUAAAGUCUUUUCCUCUCUUCAAUGAUUCAGUUUUUCACCUUACAAGAAACUCUGGAAGUUCUGGCAAUGAAGUAGUUAAGGAAAUUUGGUGAGAGUUGCGUCCAUCAAAUCUGUGCAUUUACUACAGAAGUGGUAGCUGUGAGAGGAUUUUGUAAUGGUUAGGCAUAAAAGUGAGGGAUACUACUCAACAGUUACAGGUUUUAGUGUCAAUACCUCCUGGAUACCAUUGAUUCUUUCCUUCUUGGUGAACUUAACCCUGUCAAACUCAGAUGCCAUAUUUAAGAUGAAAGGUAUUGUAUUUUCACCUUCUUUUGCUUUGUUUACUCAUCUUUCAUUUAUUAUUUCACCUUGUUUACUAGACAGAGGGAGGCUGAGGUAAUGGAACAAUUUGUUUGGCCAGCCAGUGAGGAGAAUACAGCAGAUGGAAAAUGGAAGCUACUCUUCCAGAACUCUUCAGAGUACCGUAUCUCUUUCAGUCCAGGCCCACCGGCCUUACAGGGGUUAACAAUCUCUUACAGCUCACGACUACUUACAUUUCAGUACUUUUUCCUCUGAAAAUGUGGAUCUGUUCAUUUUUUUUCAAUCUGUGUCCUCUCCAGUGUUCAGAUUUGGUAAUUUCUGUUUUCUGUCUUCCAGUUCACUGAUGAUUUCCUCUGCUUCCUUUUUUCUGCUGUUGAAACCAUCCACUGAGCUUUUUCAGUUAUUGUAUUUUUCAGUUGUAAAAUUUCCAUUUGGUUCUUCUUCUUUUGAUGGAGUUUGUUAUUGUUUCCUUUGUUUCAAGAUGUUCAUGAUUGAUGAAGCAUUAUUAUCACAGCUGCUUCAAAAUUCUUGUCGGGUAAUUCUAGCAUUGCUGUCAUCUUGGUUUUGGCACAUUUUGAUUGCUUUUUUUCUCACUCGGUUUGAGAUCUUCUUGGUUCUUGACAAGUGAUUUUCUGUUGAAACCUGGACAUUUUUGGGUUACCUUAUGGGACUCCGAGUCUUAAACUUUCUGUUUUAAAUGGCUUUAUUGGAUACCACACUGCCAGGGGAAGGGAGGGCAUUGCCUUAUUACUACCAGUGGAGGUAGAGGCCCAAGUUUCCCACUCAGCCUCAGUUAACGCCUGAGGAAAAAGUGUUCCUUAUGAUUGCUGGGUUGUGGUGGGAGUUCUAGCUCUCCGUGUGGUCCUCACUGACACUGCAGUGAGGCUGACUUUGGUAGUACUGUGUGAUCGUGAAAGUCCUGCUUCUCCACCGCCUCCUCCAACACCACCCCAGUAGGGAAAAAGAGGAGUGCCUCCUUACUGCCUGGUGGGGUUAGAAGUAAAGCUCCCCACGUUGUCUCAACUGAUACAGUGGAGGUCAGGAGAGGAGGGGAAAGCAGGCUCUUUACUGGCUGGAAAGGAUUAAAGUCCUGGCUUCCUACUUGGCAUCUCUGCUGCCACCCUGGCAGGGAGACUGGGUGCCUGAUUAUCACCUGGUAAGGGUCAAAGUCUAGGCUCUCCCAUGAGUCUUUGCUGGUAUGGGCGAAGGUGGGACCACAGUUUUGUUUUCCUUCUGUGGUGUUACACCAGAGUAGAACAGUUAUUGUCUAAAAGUUUUCCAUCUUUCAUCACAAGUUUAAAUGUAAAACCUGAAACUUAAAAAACUCAUUCAGAAAAAAAGCAGGAGAAAAUCUUGUAGAUUUAGAUCCAGACAGAGUUCUUAAACUUGACAUAAAAAAACAUGAGCCAUAGUAGGAAAAAAUGAUAAAUUGGACUUCAUCAAAUUUAAAAAAACUUUUGUUCUGUAAGACAUUCUGUAAUAGAGAAUGAAGAGAGGGGCUGGGCAUGACGGCUCGCACUUGUAAUGCCAGCACUUUUGGAGACUGAGGAGGGUGGAUCACUUGAGGUCAGGAGUUCGGGACCUGCCUGGCCAACAUGAUGAAACCCUGUCUCUACUAAACAUACAAAAAUUAGCUGGGUAUGGUGGUGGGUGCCUAUAAUCCCAGCUACUCGGGAGGUGAGGCAGGAGAAUCUCUUAAACUCAGGAUGUGGAGGUUGCAGUGAGCUGAGAUUGUGUUACUGCACUCCAGCCUGGGUGCCAGAGCGAGACUCUGUCUCAAAAAAAAAAAGUAAUUAAAAAAAAAAAACCCAGACCACCUAGUCACUCAGGCAAAGAAGGCAAAAGUUUUCAAGACAAAGGUAACCAGUCAGAAAAUUCUGCAGGGGAGACUAUGAGAUCAAGUGGCUCUAAACCUUGAGUCCCUUUGAGCCACCAGGAGAAGACUCUGGUUAUGGCCUAGAUCUUUUGAGAAGCAAGGGAAUGUGUAUAUGACAGUCUUUCUAAAACUACAGUCUUACCCUAAGGCAGGCAUUGUUAUCAUGAAGGGUUAAUAGUUACCACUUCCAGGAAGGUUGUUCCUUUUGUCAGAAACAGGACAGUUUGCAGAUGGGCCAACCUUGAUCCACAGGGAGGGCUGAUCCAGCCAGACCUUCAUGUAGUGUUAGUGGGGUAUCACUUGCAGGGGCCAUUUCUGAGGCAGGUCACAUAUGCUGCACCUUUAAGUAAGGUUAGAGCAAUGGUUUUGGGCAAUGCAGCCUUCAUUCUUAAGUCUAGUCACUUGGCUGUGCUUCUUUUUUGCUUUUUAAGUCUGUGGCUUAUUUAAGCAUUGCAUCUCCUCUACUCAGCAGGUCAGAAAGGGAGACCAGAGGGCAGCUAUGGAAUCACAGUCUCCACUUCAGCUUCUCGGUGAGCUGAACGAUGAUGGAAGGUGCUAUUAUGCAAUUUCAAAGGUGAAACAUCUGGAGCAGUGCUGCUGGUUCUGAAAAUGUUGACAUGAAAAUUGAGUAGCUGGAACAACAGUCAAAUAUUUUAAGUGCUUCUUGCCUCACUUGAAGUGGAUGAAUAAUUGCAUGAUAUGUCUAUGUAUUAGAAGAGACAAGGUGUUUUCAUGGGUCUGCUUUCUGCAUCUCUGUUUUCUUCUAGUUUUUGUCUGAGUAAUGAUGAUCUGAGUGAAGCACCCACAUACCCUCUUGGUAAACAUAGUUAUUAACUUCCUAUUUCCAAGGUAAUAAAACACUGUAAUACCACCUUUCUUAAGCCCAGAUAGAAAAUUGUUGUAUGUCCCAAACCUGAUUGUAUGCCACAAAUGUAUGUGUUUUUAAUGUGCUGUAUUCAAGCACUUUGAUGUGGUGCCAUAGCAUAUAAACAGAAAAUGCAGAGAUGCAACACUCUUGUGAAUCAGAUAUGCCUAAUUUUGUUAUUGAGAUCAUUCAUUUUUACUCUGCCACCUUGUUAGUCUAGCAAAAUGAGAUUAAUCUUUGCUAGACUUGGUUGAAGUGUUGCAAAAGUUCAAGAUGAUAUAAAUGCAAGUUGAGUGGCUUAAUUACUUUUGAGAGGCUACAAAGUUUCUGUUUAGAUCAAUCACUUUCUAGGGAUGCUUCUGGAAACAUGACAGGGUAUGGAGAUUACUCACAAUUUUGCUGCUACCAGUUUCAUUGCUACCUGACGAAGACAUAUUAAAAAAUUUAAAUUUCUUUGCACUUCAGUAAUCUGUUUGUAUCCAGAGUCAACAUUAUUUUUCAUAUUGGUAUAAUUAACUGGAAACUUUUAAAUGAGACUCAUUGGAAUUCAUUCCAAAACCAAAAUAUUCAGAAACCUAUUGUUUAUGCUCUG